GGAAUUUUCCGCAAUGGGCGAAAGCCUGACGGAGCAACGCCGCGUGAGGGAUGAAGGCCUCUGGGCUGUAAACCUCUUUUAUCAAGGAAGAAGAUCUGACGGUACUUGAUGAAUAAGCCACGGCUAAUUCCGUGCCAGCAGCCGCGGUAAUACGGGAGUGGCAAGCGUUAUCCGGAAUUAUUGGGCGUAAAGCGUCCGCAGGCGGUCUGUCAAGUCUGCUGUUAAAGCGUGGAGCUUAACUCCAUUUCGGCAGUGGAAACUGACAGACUAGAGUGUGGUAGGGGCAGAGGGAAUUCCCGGUGUAGCGGUGAAAUGCGUAGAUAUCGGGAAGAACACCAGUGGCGAAGGCGCUCUGCUGGGCCAUAACUGACGCUCAUGGACGAAAGCCAGGGGAGCGAAAGGGAUUAGAUACCCCAAAUCAC
rnacentral:rRNA from 1 species